GACGAACGCUGGCGGCGUGCUUAACACAUGCAAGUCGAACGAUGAAGCCCAGCUUGCUGGGUGGAUUAGUGGCGAACGGGUGAGUAACACGUGGGUGAUCUGCCCUGCACUCUGGGAUAAGCCUGGGAAACUGGGUCUAAUACCGGAUAUGACCUCGGGAUGCAUGUUCUGGGGUGGAAAGUUUUUCGGUGCAGGAUGAGCCCGCGGCCUAUCAGCUUGUUGGUGGGGUAAUGGCCUACCAAGGCGACGACGGGUAGCCGGCCUGAGAGGGCGACCGGCCACACUGGGACUGAGACACGGCCCAGACUCCUACGGGAGGCAGCAGUGGGGAAUAUUGCACAAUGGGCGCAAGCCUGAUGCAGCGACGCCGCGUGAGGGAUGACGGCCUUCGGGUUGUAAACCUCUUUCACCCAUGACGAAGCGCAAGUGACGGUAGUGGGAGAAGAAGCACCGGCCAACUACGUGCCAGCAGCCGCAGUAAGAC
rnacentral:rRNA from 1 species